rnacentral:rRNA from 1 species
GACGAACGCUGGCGGCGCGCCUAACACAUGCAAGUCGAACGGAGUCACGAGGAGCUUGUUUUUCUUGACUUAGUGGCGCACGGGUGAGUAACGCGUGAGUAACCUGCCCUGGAGUGGGGGACAACAUUUGGAAACGACUGCUAAUACCGCAUAAGACCACGGAUCCGCAUGGCUCUGCGGGAAAAGGUUUUAUUGGCUUCAGGAUGGACUCGCGUCCAAUUAGCUAGUUGGUGAGGUCACGGCCCACCAAGGCGACGAUGGGUGGCCGGACUGGGAGGUUGACCGGCCACAUUGGGACUGAGGCACAGCCCAGACUCCUACGGGAGGGAGCAGUGGGGGAUAUUGCACAAUGGGGGAAACCCUGAUGCAGCGACGCCGCGUGGAGGAAGAAGGGUUUCGGAUUGUAAAUUCCUGUCGUAAGGGACGAUAAUGACGGUACCUAAAAAGAAAGCACCGGCUAACUACGUG